UUAUUACAGUUGGGAAAAAAAAAAAAAAAAAAAAAAAAACGGAGGACAAGGGCCUUGAUGUCUGCCUAAUACGAGUAGGCCUAUGAUAAUGAAUCCACUUUCAUUCAAAGGGUUGUAGAGCUCCGCCUUCAAGACUACUGAAGGGAGGAGGACUGCACGCACUCAUUCAGUUGCUGUGAGUGGAGGCAUUCCAAUCUGACUAUUGGUCUCAAGCCCUUGAAGGAUUACCCGCCUAAAGAUUUGAGGGAGACCUGACAUGUUCUCGCGAUGACUAUUGGUCUCAAGCCUUUUGAAGGAUUACCCGCUUGAAGAUUUGACGGAGACCUGACAUGUAGAAGUUUCAUUUCGAAUUUUCAUCUGUUGAAGGAGUCAUUCAACAACAACUUCAAAUAUCGGAUCUUCAUCGUCAAAGUAAACGAGUAUCGACUCCUAUUUGA